GACGAACGCUGGCGGCGUGCUUAACACAUGCAAGUCGAACGGAAAGGCCCUGCUUGCCGGGCACUCGAGUGGCGAACGGGUGAGUAACACGUGGGUGAUCUGCCCUGCACUUCGGGAUAAGCCUGGGAAACUGGGUCUAAUACCGGAUAGGAGCCAUUUUUAGUGUGAUGGUUGGAAAGUUUUUUCGGUGUAGGAUGAGCUCGCGGCCUAUCAGCUUGUUGGUGGGGUAAUGGCCUACCAAGGCGGCGACGGGUAGCCGGCCUGAGAGGGUGGACGGCCACAUUGGGACUGAGAUACGGCCCAGACUCCUACGGGAGGCAGCAGUGGGGAAUAUUGCACAAUGGGCGCAAGCCUGAUGCAGCGACGCCGCGUGGGGGAUGACGGCCUUCGGGUUGUAAACUCCUUUCGCUAGGGACGAAGCUUUUUGUGACGGUACCUAGAUAAGAAGCACCGGCUAACUACGUG
rnacentral:rRNA from 1 species